UACGUAGGGUCCAAGCGUUAUCCGGAAUCACUGGGCGUAAAGCGUGCGUAGGUGGCGUGUUAAGUGUGAUGUUAAAUCGUGUGGCUCAACCAUAUCGAUGUGUCGCAUACUGGGAUGCUAGAGGGAAGCAGAGGCAAGUGGAAUUUGUAGUGUAGCAGUGAAAUGCGUAGAUAUUACAAGGAACACCAAUGGCGAAGGCAGCUUGCUGGGCUUCUUCUGACACUGAGGUACGAAAGCGUGGGGAGCGAACAGG
rnacentral:rRNA from 1 species